rnacentral:rRNA from 1 species
AGAAUCAACGCUGGCGGCGUGCCUAACACAUGCAAGUCGAACGAGAAAGUGGAGCAAUCCAUGAGUAAAGUGGCGACCGGGUGAGUAACACGUGACUAACCUACCUUUGAGUGGGGGAUAACAUCGGGAAACCGAUGCUAAUACCGCAUAACAUCGCAAGAUCAAAGCAGCAAUGCGCUUAAAGAGGGGGUCGCGGCUGAUUAGCUAGUUGGCGGGUAACGGCCCACCAAGGCGAAGAUCGGUAUCCGGCCUGAGAGGGCGCGACGGACGACACUGGAACUGAAACACGGUCCAGACUCCUACGGGAGGCAGCAGUGGGGAAUUUUGCGCAAUGGGGGAAACCCUGACGCAGCAACGCCGCGUGGAGGAUGAAGCCCCUUGGGGCGUAAACUCCGUUUCGACCAAGACGAUAAUGACGGUACUGGUGGAAGAAGCACCGGCUAACUCUGUGCCAGCAGCCGC